rnacentral:rRNA from 1 species
GGCUCAGGAUGAACGCUGGCGGCGUGCCUAACACACGCAAGUCGAACGAAGCACUAGAUGCGAAGCCUUCGGGCCAAGCGACUAGUGACUUAGUGGCGGAUGGGUGAGUAACGCGUGGGUAACCUGCCUUACACAGGGGGAUAACAACCGGAAACGGUUGCUAAAACCGCAUGAAGUACAAUUAUCGCAUGAUGAAUGUAUUAAAUAUUUAUAGGUGUAAGAUGGGCCCGCGUCUGAUUAGCUAGUUGGUGGGGUAAUAGCCUACCAAGGCGAUGAUCAGUAGCCGGCUUGAGAGAGUGACCGGCCACAUUGGGACUGAGACACGGCCCAAACUCCUACGGGAGGCAGCAGUGGGGAAUCUUGCACAAUGGGCGAAACCCUGAUGCAGCGACGCCGCGUGAGUGAAGACGUACUUCGGUAUGUAAAGCUCUAUCAGCA